rnacentral:rRNA from 1 species
CCACGCCGUAAACGAUGAGUGCUAGGUGUCGGGAGUCAAAUCUCGGUGCCGCAGUUAACGCAAUAAGCACUCCGCCUGGGGAGUACGUACGCAAGUAUGAAACUCAAAGGAAUUGACGGGGACCCGCACAAGCAGCGGAGCAUGUGGUUUAAUUCGAAGCAACGCGAAGAACCUUACCAGGACUUGACAUCCCUCUGAAAGCUCUGAUAACGAAGAGCCCUCUUCGGACAGAGGAGACAGGUGGUGCAUGGUUGU